rnacentral:rRNA from 1 species
CUGAUGCGGGUGCUAUACAUGCAAGUCGAGCGGACAGAAGGGAGCUUGCUCCCGGAUGUUAGCGGCGGACGGGUGAGUAACACGUGGGUAACCUGCCUGUAAGACUGGGAUAACUCCGGGAAACCGGAGCUAAUACCGGAUAGUUCCUUGAACCGCAUGGUUCAAGGAUGAAAGACGGUUUCGGCUGUCACUUACAGAUGGACCCGCGGCGCAUUAGCUAGUUGGUGGGGUAAUGGCUCACCAAGGCGACGAUGCGUAGCCGACCUGAGAGGGUGAUCGGCCACACUGGGACUGAGACACGGCCCAGACUCCUACGGGAGGCAGCAGUAGGGAAUCUUCCGCAAUGGACGAAAGUCUGACGGAGCAACGCCGCGUGAGUGAUGAAGGUUUUCGGAUCGUAAAGCUCUGUUGUUAGGGAAGAACAAGUGCGAGAGUAACUGCUCGCACCUUGACGGUACCUAACCAGAAAGCCACGGCUAACAACGUGCCAGAGGCCCGCGGUA